CAGAACUGUCCCUCAGGACUGGGCAGCAUGACAGAAGUUAGUGUUUUUAAAUGGUAAAGCUUAGGGUCUGGAGGGGACAUGCUGAUUGUAGAUCUGUGCCUGUGAUCAACUUCACACCUGGGCUAACUCACACGUUUCCUUAUAAAGGCUUUCCUAGACGGCUUGGGCCACACCCUGCAUUCAGAACAAAGCCGUGUUGUGACCACAUAAGAGAUGCAGUCUUUCAGGUGGCAGAUAAGGAUUGGAAGCCACUAAAUAAGCACCUUUUGUGGAGGGCUGCUGAACCAGGGGUGUAUCACGGGACAUGAGGCAUUGUUUCUGCUGCUACUAACAAUGGAAGUGCACGCGCACACACACCGCAUCUGCUAUUUUUCUCUCACACACACACACACACACACACACACACACACACACACACACACACACACACACACACACACACACACACACACACACACACACACACACACACACACACACACACACCUUGUUUACAUGGUAAACAGUCUGAAAUGCAUGACAACCAUGCCGAUUUGAGUUGAGCAAGACUCACGUUUAACUGAGUCACCUCUGUAAAACCUUAUAGUUAAGAUGGGGCAGCUAGCUAGCUGAGUGAAUUUCAAAACGGAUUGGUUUGUUGUUCUGACAACGACAGACUAUACCUGUUGUCCUCGGCGCAUGUGACAAAUAAACUGUGAUUUGACAGACAGGCGCGGCCCUGUUGCGACAGGGAGGUACUGUGGUCCACAGGUCCUGUAGCGAUGCUGUGGGACCUUGAUCAACAACAACAAAUACUAAUUUGGCAAUGCCCUAAAACAAUACAAGCUGUAACGUUAGUAGGUCAAUUAAUUCACACUAGCUAGCUAGUAUAAUAAUAACAAGAUUUAUUUAGUUCACCAGUUUUCUAUAUCAUUCUGAUUCAGUAGCUACGGACUAUUUCGACCAAAUAAAUGAUGAUUUGUCUGUAAAGCUCGUGGAUCACAGAUAAUAUAACUAGGUAACUCACUGUCUGUCUGUCUGAUAAUAUAACUAGGUAACUCACUGUCUGUCUGAUAAUAUAACUAGGUAACUCACUGUCUGUCUGAUAAUAUAACUAGGUAACUCACUGUCUGUCUGAUAAUAUAACUAGGUAACUCACUGUCUGUCUGUCUGAUAAUAUAACUAGGUAACUAACUGUCUGUCUGUCUGAUAAUAUAACUAGGUAAC
ensembl:lncRNA